UCUGAGAGCAGUGGAGCUUGGGGCGGGGAACAAAAACCAGGAAAAUGUUGAUUUAGUCUAUAAUAGCCACAAAUCGAUUUUCCUUGAUGAAGUGGAGAGUCAGGAAUUAUCUGCAUCAAAUCAGCAAGGAUUUUAUGCAAAUGAAUGCAGAAUUAGAAUAGCAAAGUUCAACUUGAUGACAUUGGUCUUAUUUUUUGCAUAUUAGUCAAUAGUUGCUAAGUUAACAAUUUUCCCUUUCCUUUGGCAUCUUUAUUUAUAAUAAAGUUAUUUAUACAUGCACACAAGUACAAACUUACCCAUUGGGUACUGAAAUUAAAUCCCAGCAAGGCUUUAUUUUUAUUUACUGCUUCCUCCAAUAAAUGUACAUCUUUCAAAUCUCUGCAGAGCUGCAUCGAUUCCUGAAGUAUCAUCUCCCAGUUUAUUGAGUACAAGUGGUGACUGAUUGUCCCCUGACACUUCAGCAAGGACUUCAACAUACAAGAAACAAGUUUUAAAUAGGCUACGACUUUAUUAAGGCUGUGCUGAUCCCAUGGAGUCCUCACCAUAAAAAGUUGCCCAGUGAUGCUCCAGAAGAGUUAAUCAGCAAGUUGACAUCACCUGGAAUGGAAAUUUCUGGAGCUGAAUAUUCCCCUUGUUCCAGGACUUCAGGGCUGACAAUAUUUACAAACUCUGAGCUCAAGGAGAGGUAAAAGUUACUCAUGCUGGGAAUGCUCAGCCUCACCCAGCAACACCUGGCAGGAAAAGGUGACCAUUCCAGGGGAGAAGAAACCAAAUAUUGACAGCAAAUUUGUUGUUACCAGGCUGGCAGAGCCGUGUCCUUCCGAUGACGGAUCUCUCUGAUGCUCUGUUUACCUGCCCUUCAUCUGCUCCAAGGCUAACAGAGGACAGGUAUGAGCUGAUUGAUCAUAAAACCCAUUAACUGAGAUUUGUGCUGCCUUCAGUUCCCUCCAAGGAAGAGCAGGAAUCACUGAGGAUUGCAGGGAGCAGACUCUGUAAAGGCUUUUUCGGAUUCCAGGUCUCUGUGCAGGAGGUUCAAAUAGCAGGGAAAACACCUCCUGAGGGAAUGCAGGAACACAGAAGAUGCAAAGUGUGUCCAGAUCUUUGUUUUGGAGAAGAAAUUGCAUUUCUGGCAAGCAGCAGAGAUCAAAUCAGGCAGCAAGAGCCUGGCUGCCCCAGUCUAAGAAGGGCAACGAGAGUCAAGGGAGAUCAAUAAAUUUUGGGAUACACUCGAGCUCUCAGUCUAUUUAUUAAAGAUCAAUUUUUGUGAUAUCAUUGAUCCCCUGCACACUGGGAUUGUCAUCCUCACUCAGGAGCAGCUGAAAUUCAAUCCUUUCUUCUCCAUCUCUCUGUGGAUUAAACCCUGGGACACACAUAAUAGACACUCUCUGGGAAGAUAAUGUGCCUCUGGUAAUAG